rnacentral:rRNA from 1 species
GCCAGACUCCUACGGGAGGCAGCAGUGGGGAAUAUUGGGCAAUGGGCGCAAGCCUGACCCAGCAACGCCGCGUGAAGGAAGAAGGCUUUCGGGUUGUAAACUUCUUUUCUGAGGGACGAAGAAAGUGACGGUACCUCAGGAAUAAGCCACGGCUAACUACGUGCCAGCAGCCGCGGUAAUACGUAGGGGGCAAGCAUUAUCCGGAUUUACUGGGUGUAAAGGGGGCGCAGACGGCAGCGCAAGCCAGGAGUGAAAGCCCGGGGCCCAACCCCGGGACUGCUCUUGGAACUGCGCGGCUGGAGUGCAGGAGGGGCAGGCGGAAUUCCUGGUGUAGCGGUGAAAUGCGUAGAUAUCAGGAGGAACACCGGUGGCGAAGGCGGCCUGCUGGACUGCGACUGACGUUGAGGCCCGAAAGCGUGGGGAGCAAACAGGAUUAGAUACCCUAGUA